rnacentral:rRNA from 1 species
ACGAACGGAUAAAGAGCUUGCUCUUUUGAAGUUAGUGGCGGACGGGUGAKUAACACGUGGGUAACCUGCCUCACAGCUGGGGAUAACAUCGAGAAAUCGAUGCUAAUACCGAAUGUGCUGAACAUCAUAAGAUGUUCAAGUGAAAGACGGUUUCGGCUGUCACUGUGAGAUGGACCCGCGCUGGAUUAGCUAGUUGGUAAGGUAAUGGCUUACCAAGGCGACGAUCCAUAGCCGACCUGAGAGGGUGAUCGGCCACAUUGGGACUGAGACACGGCCCAAACUCCUACGGGAGGCAGCAGUAGGGAAUCUUCGGCAAUGGACGAAAGUCUGACCGAGCAACGCCGCGUGAGCGAAGAAGGCCUUCGGGUCGUAAAGCUCUGUUGUUAGAGAAGAACAUGGGUGAGAGUAACUGUUCACCCCUUGACGGUAUCUAACCAGAAAGCCACGGCUAACUACGUGCCAGCAGCCGCGGUAAYACGUAGGUGGCAAGCGUUGUCCGGAAUUAUUGGGCGUAA